GUACGAAAGUUGCUGAAACUAUUUGAUCUCCGAGAGCUAGAUUUCUGCUCAGUCAAGCCAUAUCAACUGACACUUCUCCAUAUCGAUCACGCAAAUGACCUUAAAACUUCUCAGCCACUGUGGAUACUAUGACAGUCAAGGACCCAUCAAACGGAUUAUUUCCCUCUGAAUAUAUCAUUUUACCCGGAGAACAGAUUGUGGGCCAUUCAAACCACAGUAGUUGGUUUCAGAAUGCCCCGGGCUUAUCUGAGGUUUGUGUCCCAUCCAUGACAUUGAUGAGACUGGAGUAGGGUUUCUCUCAGAUGACUCCUCCAUGUUUGUCGUGCAACGUGACAGUGAAGGACUGCACACUGAGUUAACAGAUAAACCUUCUUGUGGAUGGUAUACAGUGAUAUGUUGGCUUCCUGACGAGUCUACAAACAAAUAUAAUUUCUUUUAUUCUUUGUUUUCACUUCUUUAAACAUUUGAAUACAAUUUAAGCCUACACAUGCGUUCAUUUUGCAUUAUUAAAAUGCAUCCUAGUGAUUCAGUAGAGAUGGUUACCUAACCUGCCUGGUGCAGGUGGUUGUAUUUUGUUCUUUCUUCUCUUAUGUGUCUUGUCUUUGCUAGCCACUAUUCUCUCUAUUAUGCUGAGAUGACUUUAGACAAUGUGGGAAAAACUGGCUUCCUCUAUUGUCACUAGUUUUUGUAGACAACAAUGCUAAUCGUUGCCCUCAGUGUGAAGCUGACUAAAUUAACAAGAACGGUUAAGUUGAUAUAAAAGAAUGCAAUUAUAUGCCUAACUACUAACUCAAGAAAUAACACAGUUAAUGUAUAAUUGUUUAGUGUAACUACUUAAAUUUGGGACACUACCAGUAGUCUCCUCCUCCUCCUCUCUUAUCUCUCUCAGACAUACUCUCUCUUUUUAAGUCUCUCUUUCUGUUUGUUCCAUAUCAUCAAAACAUGCUACAAGAGAGGCCCCAACAUGUACUUGGACGCUGAAGCCACACUCAAAUCUAUGAAUGUCAUUGCACUAGAUAACAAAAUAUCAAGCAAAGUGGCACCUGCAAACAAUUGAUUUUGGACUUUUUCUCAGAACUAACACUGAGAAAAGUAGGAAGCAAAAUAAAGAAAUUAGCCAAAAGUUGUUUCUGUAACAGUAGAUAAGUGAACUGAAAAAAUGAGCAUCACUUUUGUGCAACUUACAUGAUUUAUACAUGGAUUUAUACAAUAUUAAUUUGCAUAAAACAAACUACUAAGAGUAGUCUUCAGGUUAACAUUUGCUGAUUUUACAAUAUGUAGUAUUUUAAAGAGUUUACUGAGCCUGGAGACAAAAC
rnacentral:lncRNA from 1 species